ACAAAAGGACUGAUCAGAUGGAAGCAAUAGGUUCCCACAACAGCCCCCUCAAUGAUAGCACGUGUUCAUGCCCAUCCUGAGAAGCUGGCCUCAAACCUCACUUUCUGGACACAGAAGCACCAGAUCUGAUUCGAUCCGGUGAACACCCGAGGUUCUGAGCUCCAAUUUGGUCUCGUGAACACCCGAGGUUCCGGGCUCUGAUUCGAUCUCGUGAACACCCGAGGUUCUGAGGUCUGAUUCGAUCCGGUAAACACCCGAGGUUCUGAGGUCUGAUUCAGUCUCGUGAACACCUGAGGUU